UACGAAGGGUGCUAGCGUUGUUCGGAUUUACUGGGCGUAAAGCGUGCGUAGGUGGCUUUACAAGUCAGGGGUGAAAUCCUGGGGCUCAACCCCAGAAUUGCCUUUGAAACUGUAGAGCUAGAGUAUCGGAGGGGAUAGCGGAAUUGCUAAUGUAGAGGUGAAAUUCGUAGAUAUUAGCAGGAACACCGGUGGCGAAGGCGGCUAUCUGGACGAUUACUGACACUCUGGCACGAAAAGCGUGGGGAUCAAACAGG
rnacentral:rRNA from 1 species